AACGAACGCUGGCGGCAUGCCUAACACAUGCAAGUCGAACGAAGUCUUCGGACUUAGUGGCGCACGGGUGCGUAACGCGUGGGAAUCUGCCCUUGGGUGCGGAAUAACUUCUCGAAAGGGAUGCUAAUACCGCAUAAUGUCGUAAGACCAAAGAUUUAUCGCCCAAGGAUGAGCCCGCGUAAGAUUAGCUAGUUGGUGGGGUAAAAGCCUACCAAGGCGACGAUCUUUAGCUGGUCUGAGAGGAUGAUCAGCCACACUGGGACUGAGACACGGCCCAGACUCCUACGGGAGGCAGCAGUGGGGAAUAUUGGACAAUGGCGAAAGCCUGAUCCAGCAAUGCCGCGUGAGUGAUGAAGGCCCUAGGGUUGUAAAGCUCUUUUACCAGGGAUGAUAAUGACAGUACCUGGAGAAUAAGACUCCGGCUAACUCCGUGCCAGCAGCCGCGGUAAU
rnacentral:rRNA from 1 species